GUUCUAUAGUUAUUAAUUUUAGAUUAAACCUGCUCUAUGAUUUAUUAAAUGGCUGCAGUAUUUUAACUGUACUAAGGUAGCAUAAUAAUUUGUCUUUUAAUUGAAGGCUGGAAUGAAUGGUUUAAUGAGAAAUUAACUUUUUUAAUUAAAUAAUUUGAAUUUGAUUUUUUAGUUAAAAAGCUAAAAUUUUUUUAUAGGACGAGAAGACCCUAUAAAAUUUUAUUUUUUCUAUAAUUAUUAUAAUUUUGUUAAUAAUUUUUUUUAUUUAUAUAAAAUAUUUUGUUGGGGUGAUGGAAAAAUUUUUUUAACUUUUUCUUUUUUUUUCAUUGAUUUAUGUUAUUUUGAUCCUAAAUUUUAGAUUACAAGAUUAAAUUACUUUAGGGAUAACAGCGUUAUUUUUUUGGAGAGUUCAUAUCGAUAAAAUAAGUUUGCGA
rnacentral:rRNA from 1 species